UCUGCCCUUAGAGGCUUUGCAGAUGUGGCUUUUUGUGUCACAUGUGCAUCAGUAGGAGGCAGAGAGGAAAGCACCCCAUGUCCACACUCAGUGUUCUGACCUGUGAACAUCUGAAUAAUUAGUAGCAUAACAUU